GAUGAACGCUGGCGGCGUGCCUAAUACAUGCAAGUCGAGCGAACAGACGAGGAGCUUGCUCCUCUGACGUUAGCGGCGGACGGGUGAGUAACACGUGGAUAACCUACCUAUAAGACUGGGAUAACUUCGGGAAACCGGAGCUAAUACCGGAUAAUAUAUUGAACCGCAUGGUUCAAUAGUGAAAGACGGUUUUGCUGUCACUUAUAGAUGGAUCCGCGCCGCAUUAGCUAGUUGGUAAGGUAACGGCUUACCAAGGCGACGAUGCGUAGCCGACCUGAGAGGGUGAUCGGCCACACUGGAACUGAGACACGGUCCAGACUCCUACGGGAGGCAGCAGUAGGGAAUCUUCAGCAAUGGGCGAUAGCCUGACGGAGCAACGCCGCGUGAGUGAUGAAGGUCUUCGGAUCGUAAAACUCUGUUAUUAGGGAAGAACAAAUGUGUAAGUAACUAUGCACGUCUUGACGGUACCUAAUCAGAAAGCCACGGCUAACUACGUG
rnacentral:rRNA from 1 species